rnacentral:rRNA from 1 species
GCCGCAGUAUUCUGUGCUAAGGUAGCGUAAUAAAUUGCCCUUUAAUUAAGGGAUAGAAUGAAAGGAUUAACGUUCUCAUUUACUUUUCCUAAAAUAUUCAAUAAAAUUUACUUAAAAGCAAAAAGGCUUUUAUAAAAAAGAAAGACGACAAGACCCUAUUGAACUUUACAUUUGUUUAGCUGGGGUGGCAUAAAAAAACAUCUUAAUAUAAAUUCUAAACACAGACCUGGUCAACCAAUUAAUGAAAUAAGUUACCAUAGGGAUAACAGCGCAAUAUUACUUCAAAGUACACAUUAAAAGUAAUGCUUACGACCUCGAUGUUGAAUUAAAUUUACCACACUGAGCAACACCAGUCAAGGUUGGUCUGUUCGACCAAUGAAAAUUUACAUGAUUUGAGUUCAGACCGGCGUAAGCCAGGUCAGAUUCUAUCUUUUACACUUUUAAUACAGUACGAAAGGACCUAUUAAUAAAUC